rnacentral:tRNA from 1 species
CAGGGGGUAGUUUAUUAUUAAAAUGUUAACUUUGGAGGUUAAUGAUGAGUUUUUCUUUCCCUUGA